rnacentral:rRNA from 1 species
GAACGCUGGCGGCGUGCUUAACACAUGCAAGUCGAACGAUGAAGCCCUUCGGGGUGGAUUAGUGGCGAACGGGUGAGUAACACGUGGGCAAUCUGCCCUGCACUCUGGGACAAGCCCUGGAAACGGGGUCUAAUACCGGAUAAUACCCUCGCGGGCAUCUGCGAGGGUUAAAAGCUCCGGCGGUGCAGGAUGAGCCCGCGGCCUAUCAGCUUGUUGGUGAGGUAAUGGCUCACCAAGGCGACGACGGGUAGCCGGCCUGAGAGGGCGACCGGCCACACUGGGACUGAGACACGGCCCAGACUCCUACGGGAGGCAGCAGUGGGGAAUAUUGCACAAUGGGCGAAAGCCUGAUGCAGCGACGCCGCGUGAGGGAUGACGGCCUUCGGGUUGUAAACCUCUUUCAGCAGGGAAGAAGCGAGAGUGACGGUACCUGCAGAAGAAGCGCCGGCUAACUACGUGCCAGCAGCCGCGGUAAUACGUAGGGCGCAAGCGUUGUCCGGAAUUAUUGGGCGUAAAGAGCUCGUAGGCGG